UCGUUUCCAGAUUUCACAAUCAGUUGCAGAAUGAAGAGGAAUAAGAGAUCUACUUCAGAUAUAAUCAGUUAUCUGCCAAGUAAUGUCACUGAAAAUAUUUUGAAGGACUUGCCACUGAGGGAUGCAGUAAGGACAAAUGUAUUGUCAAGGAAAUGGAGGUACAAAUGGGUAACACUUCCAGAACUGGUAUUUAAUGACAAGUUCUUCCUAGAAGGGUGGGACAACGAAAAAGUCAAGGCAGUUAUUUACCAAGUUCUACUUUUUCAUCGAGGGCCAUUAAUUAAGUUCACCCUGCGGUAUCCUCCCUUUGAAAGCUAUCUUGAUAUCAAUAAUUGGAUCUUUGUCCUCUCAACGAAAAAUAUCCAGGACUUUACUUUUUACCUUCAAGGCGGCCUGCGCCAUGAAAUUCCUUGUCACUUCUAUUCAUUUAUGAAACUGAGGGAUUUGAAUGUCACUAAUUGUGUUUUCAAACCACCACCUACAUUCAAGGGAUUUAGCAGGCUUGUUAACCUUAUUUUCGUUGAUGUUACUAUUUCUUCUGAAAUGUGUGGACUGUUCAUCUCUAGUUGCCCCUGCUAGAAUGAUUACAAUUGACUGACUGCGCCGCUUUUGACUCCCUGGAAAUCAAUGCCCCUAAUCUCAAAUAUUUUGGAUUUUUUGGCAUCUUUGAAUCAGUUUCUCUUGAAAACACCCCCUGCCUUGCAGAAAUUUCAGUUGCUUUGGUUUCCUGGUAUACACCGUUAAAACAGCCAGAGGAAGAAACAGACUCCGAAUGGGUGAAGUUUUUCCGUUCUUUACCUGCUAUUGAGGACAUGCACUUGGAUAGGUCUUUUUUGGAGAUAUUGAAUAUUCCCCCAAUCCCGGAUCAUGCUACAGAAUUUUUGCCAGCGCAAGAUUUCUCAGAGUUUUCAUUGAACAAGCUUCAAGAAGUGGAGAUCCGGCAUUUUUCAGGUGCAGAGCCGGAAAUGCUUUUUGUUAAGAUUCUGUUAGCACAUUCAGUGGUACUCAAGAAGAUGGUAAUAUGGCACGAGCACGAAAUGUCGGACAAAAAAGGAUUUGCAAUGGUAAAAGAGUUGACUCGAUUUCCUAGAGCAUCUUCGGAUGCCGAACCCGUCGUUGAUGCAAACGUCCCAACUGGCUAAACUGGCAGCUUAAGUGUGUCGGAUUCUGAUAGUUUGAGGAGUAGCUACAAAAGGCCAUACAUCGUGAAUUAUGAAGGGGGCAAGAAACAUCCUCUUUUUUUGCUGAUCAAAAGAGAAAAAGCUUUUAAGGGAAAUUUGCUGAGGUUUGGCAUACCAACAAUGGAUGUGAGGUGAUAAUGAGAAAAGGAGUCCUGCAAUGACAAAGGACUGAACCCCCCGUAUAGACGCCAGAUCCUCUCAUUGUUUGCUGAGCUACCCUGUGGGCGUUCCCAUUCACAUCAUCCGCGCAUAACUAGACCCAAUUUCUGCAUAGCACUCGCGGUGGUGGAUGCUUUAAAGUUUUUGUUCUGUAUCAGUUUGAUCAUCAGUUGAGAAUACUUCUAGGAGCGCCCUGUCAAGCCCAACAACUAAGGCAAACGGUAGACCCUCUCUUCCAGCCGUUGCUUCCACCACCAAGGGGUCGAACACCCCUUUCACAUGAGUCGCUCUUGCUGCAAUAAACUUCCCCAAAUUCUUGACGAAUUGACAAUACCAAGGCCGCAUAUCCAUCCAGCACUUCGUACUCCUCUAUCAAAAUUAACUUUGAACCAACCAUUACAAGUUUGCAUCCAUUUG